rnacentral:rRNA from 1 species
GAUGAACGCUGGCGGCGUGCCUAAUACAUGCAAGUCGAGCGAACAGACGAGGAGCUUGCUCCUCUGACGUUAGCGGCGGACGGGUGAGUAACACGUGGAUAACCUACCUAUAAGACUGGGAUAAUUUCGGGAAACCGGAGCCAAUACCGGAUAAUAUAUUCAACCGCAUGGUUCAAUAGUGAAAGACGGUUUUGCUGUCACUUAUAGAUGGAUCCGCGCCGCAUUAGCUAGUUGGUAAGGUAACGGCUUACCAAGGCAACGAUGCGUAGCCGACCUGAGAGGGUGAUCGGCCACACUGGAACUGAGACACGGUCCAGACUCCUACGGGAGGCAGCAGUAGGGAAUCUUCCGCAAUGGGCGAAAGCCUGACGGAGCAACGCCGCGUGAGUGAUGAAGGUCUUCGGAUCGUAAAACUCUUUUAUUAGGGAAGAACAAAUGUGUAAGUAACUAUGCACGUCUUGACGGUACCUAAUCAGAAAGCCACGGCUAACUACGUG